UAACUCUAGGCACCCCCUGCAGGACCUGAAGAAGUACUUUGACAGCUGCAACGGCGAUUUGGACCCCGAGAUUGUGAAGUCCUUCAUGUACCAGCUGUUGAAGGGUCUCGGAUUCUGUCACAGCCGGAACGUUCUCCACCGGGACCUCAAACCGCAGAACCUCCUCAUCAACCGGAACGGGGAGCUGAAGCUGGCGGACUUCGGACUGGCGCGAGCCUUCGGCAUCCCGGUGCGCUGCUAUUCGGCGGAGGUGAGCACGGAG